rnacentral:rRNA from 1 species
GACGAACGCUGGCGGCGUGCUUAACACAUGCGAGUCGAACGGAAAGGCCCUGCUUUUGUGGGGUGCUCGAGUGGCGAACGGGUGAGUAACACGUGAGUAACCUGCCCUUGACUUUGGGAUAACUUCAGGAAACUGGGGCGAAAACCGGAGAGGAGAUCCUGCACCAUGGGGGGGGUUGGAAAGUGUCGGCGGUUGGGGAUUGAUUCGCGGCUUAUCAGCUGGUUGGGGGGGUAGUGGAGGACCAAGGCUUUGACGGGUAGCCGGCCUGAGAGGGUGAACGGCCACCUUGGGACUGCGAUACGGCCCAGUCUCCUACGGGCCGCAGUAGUCGGGAGUAUUGCGCAGCGGGCCGAAGCCUGAUGUAGAAACGCUGCGUGCGGGAUGACGGCUUUCGGGUUGUAAACAGCUUUCGACUGUGCCGAAGCCUUCUUGACGGUACCGGGUCAAGAAGCACCGGCUAACUACGUG